rnacentral:rRNA from 1 species
UACGUAGGGUGCGAGCGUUGUCCGGAAUUAUUGGGCGUAAAGAGCUCGUAGGUGGUUUGUCGCGUUGUUCGUGAAAACUCACAGCUCAACUGUGGGCGUGCGGGCGAUACGGGGCAGACUAGAGUACUGCAGGGGAGACUGGAAUUCCUGGUGUAGCGGUGGAAUGCGCAGAUAUCAGGAGGAACACCGAUGGCGAAGGCGGAUCUCUGGGCCAUUACUGACGCUGAGGAGCGAAAGCGUGGGGAGCGAACAGG